GACGAACGCUGGCGGCGUGCUUAACACAUGCAAGUCGAGCGGUAAGGCCCUUUCGGGGGUACACGAGCGGCGAACGGGUGAGUAACACGUGGGUGACCUGCCCUCAGCUCUGGGAUAAGCCUGGGAAACCGGGUCUAAUACUGGAUAUGACUCCAUGACGCAUGUUGUGUGGUGGAAAGCCUUGUGCGGCUGAGGAUGGGCCCGCGGCCUAUCAGCUUGUUGGUGGGGUGAUGGCCUACCAAGGCGACGACGGGUAGCCGGCCUGAGAGGGCGACCGGCCACACUGGGACUGAGACACGGCCCAGACUCCUACGGGAGGCAGCAGUGGGGAAUCUUGCGCAAUGGGCGAAAGCCUGACGCAGCGACGCCGCGUGAGGGA
rnacentral:rRNA from 1 species